rnacentral:rRNA from 1 species
AACGAACGCUGGCGGCAGGCUUAACACAUGCAAGUCGAACGCAUCCUUCGGGGUGAGUGGCAGACGGGUGAGUAACGCGUGGGAACGUGCCCUUCAGUUCGGGAUAACCCAGGGAAACUUGGGCUAAUACCGGAUACGUGCGAGAGCAGAAAGAUUUAUCGCUGAAGGAUCGGCCCGCGUCUGAUUAGCUAGUUGGUGAGGUAAUGGCUCACCAAGGCGACGAUCAGUAGCUGGUCUGAGAGGAUGAUCAGCCACACUGGGACUGAGACACGGCCCAGACUCCUACGGGAGGCAGCAGUGGGGAAUAUUGGACAAUGGGCGCAAGCCUGAUCCAGCCAUGCCGCGUGAGUGAUGACGGCCUUAGGGUUGUAAAGCUCUUUCGGCGGGGACGAUAAUGACGGUACCCGCAGAAGAAGCCCCGGCUAACUUCGUGCCAGCCGCCGCAGUAAAAC